GGGUUAGUAGGUUGGUCAUGCCUCUGGUAUGUACUGGUCUCACUGAUUCCUCCUUCCUGAUGAACCUUAAUGCCAUUUAUUUGGUGUUUUGGGGAAUUUGGACUGUUACUUUGAAAAAAUUAGAGUGUUUAAAGCAAGCUAACGCUUGAAUACAUUAGCAUGGAAUAAUGAAAUAGGACGUUCGAUCCUAUUUUGUUGGUUCAUAGGACUGCCGUA
rnacentral:rRNA from 1 species